GUCUAUGGUCUUACCACCCUGAAUAUAUCGGAUCUCAUCUGAUCUCAGAAGCUAAAAAUAGGCCUGGGAGAAAUUGGAUUUUUUUUCAGUAGUUU
rnacentral:rRNA from 1 species